GGCGACAAGAGCAACAACGGCGGCAAUCAAGCAGAUGCCAUCAACGUCUCUCAUUUGUUAUUGUGUCUGCUGAGCGUGUAUCUGCUCGCAGGGCGAUCUUCGGCCACCGUUAGUUACGUGCACUGUUUAUCUAUCUGUGUUUUCGCUUGUCUUUCCGUCCAUCCAUCUGUCAAUCCAACCGCGAGUAAGCACCUACUGGCAUUCCCGUCGGUUGUCUUUCUAGCCGCUGGUUGCGAAGGUUUGUUGGGUCUUACGUUGCCAUUAACGUCGAAUGCAAGCACCCAUACCUUCUGUUCUGGAACCAAGUUUUUAUCUGAACUUCGGUGAGAUUCAAGGCCGCUGAUAACUCCAUUCGCUUACUCACGCUGAGCAGGUGGUCGGCGAAGAUCCAGUACUGGUGAGGAUGAUGCAGAUACUUGGGCACCUGUAGAUCCUAAAGGGAUUAACUGGUUGCUG